rnacentral:rRNA from 1 species
AGUCGUAACAAGGUUUCCGUAGGUGAACCUGCGGAAGGAUCGUCAACAAAUCUAAAAAGAAAUUUAGUGAGAGAUCACUAAAUUUUUUUAACCAAUGUGAAUUGGGUAGUAGUAGUAGUAAAAUACUACUUAUUAUUACCCUCAAGUUAUUUUUUAUUAUAAGCAUAGAUAAAAUUUAUUUUACCUCUACUGAAUAAUAAAAAAAUAAUAAACGAGUUUUAAUAGAGUCUGAUUUAAAAUUAAACAUAAUUUUUAUAAUAACUUUUAACAAUGGAUCUCUUGGCUCUUGCAACGAUGAAGAACGCAGUGAAUUGCGAUAAGUAAUGUGAAUUGCAUCACCUGUGAAUCAUCAAAUCUUUGAACGCACCUUGCGCCUUUUGGGUCUACUGAAAGGCAUACCUGUUUGAGUAUCAGAAAGUAUUCUAUCAAUAAUGAAAGUUAUUUGAUAGGAAUUGAGGUCUAUUAUUAUUUUUUAAUAUUCCUUGAAAUUUAGGUAGAAUUAAUAUUUGAUUCAAAAGUGCGGUAAGAAAAUAUCAUUUUCUCCCACUGAUAAAAGUCUAUAUUCACACCUACUCUCUUUAACUAAAUGAACUCUUGAUCUCAAAUCAGGUAGGAUCACCCGCUGAACUUAAGCAUAUCAGUAAGCGGAGGAAAAGAAACUAACAAGGAUUCCCUCAGUAACGGCGAGUGAAGUGGGAACAGCUCAAGUUUUAAAUCUGAAAGGUCUCCUUUCCGAGUUGUAAACUAUAGAGACGUUUUCUGUAGUGACUGUGGUAAAAGUUCUUUGGAACAAGACAUCAGAGAGGGUGAGAAUCCCGUAACUGACCACUUGUCUACUGCUCUAUGAUACGUUUUCUACGAGUCGAGUUGUUUGGGAAUGCAGCUCAAAAUGGGUGGUAAAUUUCAUCUAAAGCUAAAUAAUGGCAAGAGACCGAUAGCGAACAAGUACCGUGAGGGAAAGAUGAAAAGAACUUUGAAAAGAGAGUUAAAUAGUACGUGAAAUUGUUAAAAGGGAAACGAUUGAAACCAGUAUUUUUAAUAGAAUUCAAUCAAUUUUAAUGGAUCUUUAUGCUCUUAAAGAGGGUAACCCCCCUUUGAGUAUAAUGUUGAAGUUUAAAUUGAUGCAUUUUUCUAUUAAAAAGUCAACAUCAGUUUUAUUUGCCGGAUAAAGUGUUAAGGAAGGUGACUCUUUUAGAGUUUUAUAGACUUUUCACUAAACGGCGGAUCGAGACUGAGGACAGCAGCGUAGCGCAAGCAUUUCCUAAAGUAGUACAUUUUAACUGAACUGCUUAAGACUACAAGUAGACUUGAGUAGGAUUAGUUAUUUUAAGGCUAUGGAGGGUUAAUACGCUUAGGAUGUUGACGAAAUGGUUUUAAACGACC